CCACAUGAGCCAGAAGGUCACAUGACUGUGGAUACAGGCAACAUGGGGCUACAGCAGCAGGACUCGCCCGAGGACUCGGAGCCAGGAGCGAGUGAUGAGGAGCAACCCGCUGUCGGAUGCACUCCUUCCCUGCUGGAGAAUUAAGCCAAAGCAUGCAGACACACAAAAGCAGAGACAUGGGGCCAGGAGAAGGAGAGGAAAGGAGCAAGGGGCCCAUUUUGAAAUCUCGUCUCCGGGCCCACUUCAACCUUGGUAUGACCCUGCCAGAAUGCCAAAGUAAUUGCAGCUUUUCAGUUCUGUUUCCCUGACUCACAAGAUUCAUUUAUUUUGCACAAUAUAUUUCUAAACACUUCCAAACCCAGUUGCUCUAUGCAUGUAUAUUAAACAGACAUUCAUAAGUUCCAAUAUUUAAAGAAUGAACUUGCUGUUACUAAAAAGGGAAACGUUCUUCUGCAUGUUGUGAAGAAAUACAAAUAACUUUGGGUUGGAACACUAGAACAACAUAUUUGUAUAGACACAAGGGCCUACUGUAAAAACUCCAUGUACAUUAUUUAGCAUUUUCUCCUAUAAUUGCCACUUUACUCAAAUAAAGGAAACCAGU